rnacentral:rRNA from 1 species
GGGCCAGACUCCUACGGGAGGCAGCAGUAGGGAAUCUUCGGCAAUGGACGAAAGUCUGACCGAGCAGCGCCUCGUGAGUGAAGAAGGUUUUCGGAUCGUAAAACUCUGUUGUUAGAGAAGAACAAGGAUGAGAGUAAAAUGUUCAUCCCUUGACGGUAUCUAACCAGACAGCCACGGCUAACUACGUGCCAGCAGCCGCGGUAAUACGUAGGUGGCAAGCGUUGUUCGGAUUUAUUGGGCGUAAAGCGAGCGCAGGCGGUUUCUUAAGUCUGAUGUGAAAGCCCCCGGCUCAACCGGGGAGGGUCAUUGGAAACUGGGAGACUUGAGUUCAGAAGAGGAGAGUGGAAUUCCAUGUGUAGCGGUGAAAUGCGUAGAUAUAUGGAGGAACACCAGUGGCGAAGGCGGCUCUCUGGUCUGUAACUGACGCUGAGGCCCGAAAGCGUGGGGAGCGAACAGGAUUAGAUACCCUAGUA